rnacentral:lncRNA from 1 species
AAAAAACUUCUCCUACCAAAUGCUCCCUUAGGGUAACUCAAUUCCUUUUUUUUUUCUCUCUCUACAUAAUAGUACAUGUUGCAUUUUGGUUAUGUGAAGCAAUAUCUAUGUAUUUAUAAGUUUAAUUCCAAUAUUAAGAUUUUUAUAAUUAUAUAUCUAUUAUUUAUCAUACACGCACAUGCAAACUAUUAAAUUACAUAACUAACAUAAGCCCAAAGGCCCAUAUUGAUUGUUUGAGUGUAAUCCUAAGUCCCUUUAUUUAUAUCAUAAACAUAGGGCCACAUACAUAUUGAUUUAGGAGGUCGUUCCCCUGCCUCUUCCCUCCCCCAUUUCUUCAUUUUCAUGCUCCUAUCUUUUCAUAUAUGGAAGACAUGACAUAAUGUGCUUCUUACUGGCAAGAUCUUCAUUCUUAUUUUUUCUAGUCUUUCUUAUUCUUCUUCUUUUUCUUUUUCCUUGUCUUUUAUUUCUUAUUAAUUUGUUUAUGUUCAAUUUGUUUGCUCAAUAACCUAGCCAUCAAAUUAUAAUCAGGCAAUUGAGUUUUGCUAGUACAAUUUAGUUUAGGUUCAAUUUAAUUACAUCAACCUCAGUUUGUUUGCAUUUUUAAUUCGAUAACUUGACUAAAUCGAUCAUGGGUUUGAUUCUAGGUCGGAUUGACCAAUCCGGUUCGAACUUUACAACAUUAUCUAUGAUCUAUAUUAAAAGAAUAACAAGUAAGCUACUACAAUUUAUUCAGAAGCCUUGUUAAUGUUUAUUUAUUUAUUUUAAUUUAAUAACUAAAAAAUUCUCCAUUUUUUUGCCUUUCCCCUUUCAGGAUAGAUCUCACAUUAUCUUAGCACUCCCACUUCAUCAUAUAUUUGCACUCUCACAUCACCAUCGUCACAUUCACAUUUCAAUUCUCUUCUUAGGUAUGUUUCUUUUCACCAUCUAUUUUCUUCUCACUAGUAUUUCUUUAUUCUUAAGUGAGUUAAGUCUAACUGUUUCUCUUUAUUUUAAUGUUUAUGCCUUUUGCAAGUCCUUGUUUCUCUCUUUACCUUCGUAGGUGCUUGAUUCUUUUUCUCUACCUUUGUAGGACUCUUUGCCUUCGCAGUUUCUCUUAACAUUUAACAUCGUAAGUCCUCAAAGAUUGGUUUUGAUUCUACAAUUACGGUUUAUGGCUUUCAUUGCAUGUAGUUUAUAGCUUGCAUCUCAAUCACUCUUAAGUCUAUCUCUUUCUUCCUAAUUUUAUGUUUUUGCCUUGGCAAAUCCUUCACUAAAAAGCUAAAGUUGAAGUAACUUAUGAAAUUAAGAUAGAAGCUACUAAAAUAAGACUGUGUACCAAAGAAAUUGAAUAAGCUAACUACUAGCUUAUAAGGUAUUAUAUUGACUCACCAAACUUUUUUUUUAUGAGCAAAACCAUUUAUUAAUCAACUCUAAUUACGUACAAGUUGUACAAAAAUUGGACAACCAUGAAAGUAAACAAGUUUCCUAAUACGCUAACAGAAACUACUAAAUUCAACACCCUAGUUUACUCUAAACAUAUGUAAAUCCACACCCUAUGCACUGGUACCCCUAACAAUACCAAAACAAAAGACAGUCUCCAUAAAACAAAAAUCCCAUAUCCACUAUCAUUAAUUGGCAGCGAGCAUUAGCCUGGUCGAAUCUCUUUAACAAUAAUGAAAAUGGACCAACUAAUAUACAAGUAAAUCACCCAUUAAACCCCCUGCAUCACCCAUAAUAUUAUAAAUUUUAAAAAAUCAACUUUCUUUUUGUACUGGAUUCUUUGUUAUCUGUUUUCUGUGUCCACUUGUCAAUGACCAAUGAUCAUAUCAAACACUCAACAACAUACAAUUUGUCUGCUUGCCUACCAUGUGCUUGAUUAAAUUUGCUAACCAAAACGCCGUAGAUGAACUUAUUCCAAUUACAUAUGCUACUCCCAACUACUUCUGCCCACCCAAACGAAUCUUCCACAACAUCCUUACCCUUCCCUUGUCACUGCAGCAAUAACCCUCCCACCACCUUCAUCCCCUACCCUUAUCAUUGUAUACCAACACAAGACCGUGGAUUCAUAACCCAACCCACCAAAGGAUAAUCAAGACUUUACUUUGCAACACUCCAUUGCCAAGACCUGAUCUUGAUUGAUUCUGCAACUUGUUCCACAUGGUCAUUGUUGCCUUCAAAGAUCAAUACAUUUCAAGAUAUUCAAAUUGACCAAACAGUAGAAAACCAAACUGACAUCCAAUACCUUCUUGAUUUCCCACCACACUCCAGUAAGCCUAAAAACUGAAAGAAACUUAUAUGUAUUGUAUUAUGCAUUGUUGUAUUUAUUUCCCACCACUUCAGAACCAAUACCCAAAUUUGUUACGAAAACACACAAUAAAAAACUAUGUGUUUUGUGUCCUCCACCCCAUACCCACACCUCAUGGAUGCGCCUACUAAACAAUCACUAAUCGUUAUUUUUUUGUUUUGUUGAAUUUUUUUCGUACUUGGUAAAUGCAAUAACAAAAAACUGAUAAUUAGACCAUCCAUAGUUGUUAUCUAACAUUGACAAAUGUUCUAUCAUAUGAAAGAAAAAAUAAGGUGAUUAUUCCUUCACCAAUCGCUAGAUUAUGAUUAAUUCAAUAAUAUUGAAGAAGUUAAAAGGUAAGAUUUUUACUUUUCUCUAUGUUUUUCCACAUGGUGUUCAACACCAUUAAUUUAUUUUACUACUUUAUUUGUCACAAUUUUCAUUAUUGCUUAUGAAGGCAAUGCAUGUCAUGUUUCAUUAAUGACGAAUAAACAAAUAUAGUUUAGAUUUUGUUAAGAAAUAAAAGUAAUUGGAAACAAAAUUUAAAAAUCACAAUCGACUUACUCUGUUGUGAUACCUGCGCUCGUGCCUAUCACUUUAAGUGUGGUUAAUUUACGUAUUAAUUUAAUCCAUUUUUACUAAAUGUUACAAGUUAUUUAACAUUCAAACAUACUUAUUUUUAGUAGGCUCAUUUUAAAUUGAAGAACAAUAAAUCAAUUUCAAAGCAAAUAAUAAGCAUAUCUCUUAAUCAAGGCAAUUAAGAUGAUAAGCGGGAGCGCAGUUAUCACAGCAAAGUAAGUCUCUUGAGAAUUUUUGAAUUUUGCUUCCAGUCACUUGUUUUUCCUUAACAAAAUACUAUAUUCUAUAUGUUUACUCCAUGUUAAUGCAACAUGAAAUACUUAGCAUUCAGAAGCUAUAAUGAAAAUUGUGACACAAAGUAUUAAACAAGUGGUGUUGAUCAUCGGCCAUGUGGAAAAACAGAAAGAAGAAUAAGAAUCCUUACCUUCUAGCUUUUUCUGUGUCAUUGAAUAGAUCAUAAUCCCAAGGACAAUGGGGAAUAAGCUUUUCAAUUUUUUUUUUCUUGUUAUAGGAUAUAACAUCAGCCACUGUAUUAAAUAACAAUUUUGUAUGAUCUUAUGAGUUUUUUUGUAAUUGGA